ACUUUUAGCCGGUUAACUCAGAAAACGAGCUGCACCAACCGGACACUUCAUCCCGGAAAUACGGAAGCCAGUGCGGAAGAGCUGCGGUCCGUCUCCCGGUCGCCAUCGAACAUAUAGUGAACAACAGCCUAAUGGUGACGCUAGCUUACUGAGAUAAGAGCUACACGGGAUUUUGCUCCAUUGCAACAAACAGUGUGUAUGUUUCAUUAUUAUUAUUUUUGCUUUAAAAGCGCUAAGGCCAUAAGAUGGCCGAGUACACACCGCUUCUCUAAACGCACUUCUUGGUUUCUUUGAACGCCAGAUUGACUGCUCUGCAUUGCUCUCUUGUUUACCCAGGAGUCAGGACUAACAAGUAUAAAAGAAGACUGAGUACAAAAGAAAAAAAAAAAACCUACAGAGGUGUGCCCACUACAGUUAUCAUAAACAGUUACAAAGUCAAGCGGAUCGGAGUGAACUAGAUGUAAAAAACAUGGGUCAGUUUCCUGUACGGAAGAAACAGCGUAGAAAGAGCAUUACAGAGCCUCCUAUUAUGAGUACUGAAGAUACAUCAUUGAGAGCAAUCAUACUUGGAAGCUCUGGUCAUCAGCAGUUCUCUCUCACCGAGUCGAUCCUGCAGAGCGUGGUCUUUGACGGCACUGAUCCUCACACUAUACUCACUACUAAAACUUCUGGAAGCCUCUUUGGGAAGAAAUGUGACUCUGGUCAACACUCCAAAUCUUGACAAUUACAAGUUUAAAAAGGAACUGAAGAAGGCGGUUCGGUUCUCCUGUCCAGGGCCACACGCCGUCCUGUUUACUGUAAGUCCGUUAGACAUGCCGCCAAACGCGUACGAAAUUUUCAAACCGGUAGUGGAGUACUUUGGAGAGCAAAUCUUGGACAACACAAUGAUUGUUUUAUACCAUGAGGAAGAGCAGUGGAGGCAGUCGUUAGAGGACAAAGUGAUGAAGAAUCGUGACUUUAGAGAGCUUCUAGACCAGUGUCAUCGAAGGUGCCUAGUCUUCAACGGAAGAAGGGAAGAGAGUAGCAUGGCAAAAGAAUUGUUGGACAAAAUAGACGAGAUGGUGGCAAAGCAUGGUGUUUUUUCAAACCUGGAAUAUAAAGACGUGGCUCAACAAUUCACACAUCAGGAAAUAAUCGUGGAAAAUCAAGAGAAAGAAGGAGGUCGGUGCAGUGCUAGAGGAACCGGAGAAGAAGCAUUCUCAGGAUGCUUUCCACGGGUCCUUAAAAAGUCUUCAAAUCUCUUAAAUUCCUGAAUGUGAAAAUAAGGCCUUCAGUAGCAUUAAAGUCUCUUAGAUUCACGUUUCAGAGGUCUUACAAACGCAACCGACCCGACAUCGUAAACAUGAUUUAGAUGUUAUUUUCUCUCGUCGCUGUUUGAGAUGGUAAACCUGUGUGUGUGUGCGCGCGCGCGCGUGUGCGCGUGUCUCACAUCCGUGUUUUAGAGCGGCUCAGUUCACAGGAAACGCUCCAAACCAGCUUCAUCUCAGUCUGAGUUGAGUUUGACUCGUUUAUACGUGUGUUUAGACCCGGCGUGCAUCGACACGCAUUCACUUUGGGCUUGUUUACGUUAGUCAUCUCAACCACUCCUGUGGGACGAGGUUUACAGCAUUUCACCUGAUCGGUAAUGUGAGAAUUUUUUUUAGCAUUAAAGUCUGUAACAGACAUUAGUCAUUGAAGGCAUUAAAGUCUGUUUCAGAGGUCUUACAAAUGCAACAAGAUUUAGAUGUUAUUUUCUCUAGUCGCUGUUAGGGAUGGUAUCCCAUCUGUGUUUUUGUGGCUCGGUUCACAGUUAGUUAAAGUAGUAAAUGUUUGUGUUACUGUUUGUGUUACUCGACCUUAGUGCAGCUUUUAAUAAAAAGCUACUUAUAUAGCGCUUUUAUCCAAAGGAGCAGUUCUCUCCUGGCUCAACUCUUAUCUGACUGAUCGUUAUCAGUUCGUAGAUGUAAAUAGUGAUUUCUCCAUGCGUACUGAGGUUAUAGAGCCCCACAGUUAUGGAACGGUCUUCCUAUUAUUUAAUAUAUAUAAAAUAAAAAUGUAUGUAUAUUUACAACACUACUUUUUAUACUUGUUAACUGGGAUUAAAUUACAAAACAACCUGGUAAACACUGCUACGAGGGAGUUUCUCAUACAGCUGCUGAGGGCACGAGGGUGAAGCCCACGGCUUUUUCUUGGCUGAUUGCUGAAAUCCGUCUCUAUGGUUUUUUCCAUUCUUGGAAAGUCAUGGAAAAGAAAUACUGUAUUUAUUUUUGUUGGAGCACAUGGUAACACAAAAAGGAUAUUUUUAUGCAUACGUUACCAAAAAGUGCUCUCAAGUCUUUAUUUCACUUUGUAGUUCUAAGACCUAGAUAGAUGCUUGUAUAUUAUUUAUCUGUUGCACUAAUCAUUUUUAUUUAUUUUUUUUUUAUUAAUCAUUAUUUAAAUAUGGACAAUUUAAGGCUACGUUCACGCAGCAGGCAAAACUGACAAACGUUACACAGGUUUGUUACUGACAUGGCUGUUUUAACAACAGAAGACAGAUUGAAUCUGACAUUUUUAUUUCCACUCUCAUAUGUGGUACUGAAAUCCGAUACGUGGUCGUGCAAUUCAUACAAUUCAACUCGACAGUCGUCGUAAUUUCGUACUACUGGGAAGGAAAGACUAACCACUGCUGUUUUAUUUUUGUUUCGUUUGUUAAUUAUCAGUGAAUCCAGUCUGUAAUAUAAAUGCUCUUUUUGUACUGAGGAGGACGUGUUAAGCUUUGAAACUUUCAAAGCUUAAUGUCAAUGUUUAUUGAUGUCAAUAUUGCGAUGUCAAUAAUAAUUGCAUAUGUCAAUAAUUGCGAUGUCAAUAAUAAUUGCGAUGUCAAUAAUAAUGUUGUCAAUAAUAAUAUUGCGAUGACAAUAUUAAUAAUGUCAAUAUUGCGAUGUCAAUAUUUUUUAACGGAACGAAGAUCUCUUAAAUGUCGGAAAAUCAAGGAAAAGUUUUUGUUUUGUUUGUCUCAUCUUGUAGACGUGAAAUAACCAGAAUCAAUCUUUAGAGUUUAUGAGUUUACCACCGGCCACAAGGAAACAGUCAGAUGCUCACUGACCCAACUGUAAAGUAUACAGUGGCUAUGAGGUGGAUUUACUCGUAUACAGUCGCUUUUUGCCUCCAGACAUUUUGAUGGUGCUCAUGACAGAAAAUUAAAAUAAGGGUCUGAAUUGACCACAACACACAAUGCCUAUUGGAGUGCUGAUGCUGCCUGGUGCUGAUACUCUCAGGAAUAGGCUUGUGCAAUAUUAAUUUUCUGAAUGUAGUCAAGUUUAUUUGGUGCAGUUCUAAAAAUGUGAUCUUUGGGCCUUUUUGACCCUCCUCACUAUGUGGAGGUUCAGUGUGCUCAUGAGUCCAAUACCUAUUAAAUUUCACCCAUUUCAGAUGUGAAACUUUUUUACUGUAUGGCCUCAAAAGCAUUUUUAACUGGGUGUGUGUUUCUUUUUAUCCAUUACCGGAUUUGUGCAGCUCAACAAUCAUCUGUCAUUUUUUUUUUUAUCAUUGUUUGUUUAAUUUGUUUUCCCAUCCCAUGUGGUUGACAAAGUGAUGUUACAUGUGUGCAACCUUAUAUUUAAUACCCCACUGAAACAGCACAUGGUUAAAAGCAACCAGUUCCUACAGGAUGAGAACAAAUUAUAAAAACACUUCACAUUGUUCAAGAAUGACAAUUUAUUUUAAUUUAUUUACAAAUCUUUAGGUGUGUCAAUACCAUUGGUACAGAUAGUUUUGAGAAAAAGACAUUAUUAUGUUAAAAAGUAGUUUGAACAAGUUUACUUUUUGUAUAUUACAGAGAUAUUUAACUGUUGAAGUGGAAAAUUUCAUUGUUGUGUUUAAUGUUUUUUUUUAUUUUAUUUUUUAUAAAGGGUGCCAAUAAUUCUGGAGGGCAUAUGGAGCACUUUCUCCCCAAAGAAACAUAAUGAAUAAUGAAUGUUAAGAAUUUGAUCAGACAGGGAAGGUAUUUGUCUGAUAUUGUUUACUAUUGUUGCUUUAAAAUAUUCUAGAUUCUCUUUACAUGUGGUUUAUAAUGUCACAAUAAUGCAGCAUCCAUAUAUUUUAUGUGUUAGGCUUUUAUUGUUGUAUUUUGUUCACACAUUUGUGUAUCUCAUGUUGAUUUGACGCACUAAAGGCCGUGUCCAUUGUUCAUUUGGGCAAUGAACAGUUUCUGAUUGUGGCUGUCAGAUUGGACUUGUAAUUUGUGAUGAACAUUGUCUGUCCAAUUGAAGGAAAUAAAUAAUAAAGCACAAUAUUUGCA